GACAGAGGGUGCAAACGUUGUUCGGAAUUACUGGGCAUAAAGCGCACGUAGGUGGUUCGCUAAGUCGUGUGUGAAAUCCCUCGGCUCAACCGGGGAAUUGCGCAUGAUACUGGCGAGCUUGAGAUCGGGAGGGGUGAGUGGAACUCCAGGUGGAGCGGUGAAAUGCGUAGAUAUCUGGAGGAACACCGGUGGCGAAAGCG
rnacentral:rRNA from 1 species